GAUGAAGAACGCAGCGAAAUGCGAUAAGUAAUGUGAAUUGCAGAAUUCAGUGAAUCAUCGAAUCUUUGAACGCACAUUGCGCCCGCCAGUAUUCUGGCGGGCAUGCCUGUUCGAGCGUCAUUUCAACCAUCAAGCCCCCGGCUUGUGUUGGGGACCUGCGGCUGCCGCAGGCCCUGAAAAGCAGUGGCGGGCUCGCUGUCACACCGAGCGUAGUAGCAUACAUCUCGCCCUGGGCGUGCUGCGGGUUCCGGCCGUUAAACCACCUUCAUAACCCAAGGUUGACCUCGGAUCAGGUAGGAAGACCCGCUGAACUUAAGCAUAUCAAUAAGCGGAGGC
rnacentral:misc_RNA from 1 species